rnacentral:rRNA from 1 species
UACGUAGGUGGCAAGCGUUGUCCGGAUUUAUUGGGUUUAAAGGGUGCGUAGGCGGUCUUAUAAGUCAGUUGUGAAAUACGGCAGCUUAACUGUCGAGGUGCAAUUGAUACUGUAAGACUUGAGUACUGUUGAGGUAGGCGGAAUGGACGGUGUAGCGGUGAAAUGCUUAGAGAUCGUCCAGAACACCGAUAGCGAAGGCAGCUUACUAAAGAGUAACUGACGCUGAGGCACGAAAGUGUGGGGAUCAAACAGG